AUUGAACGCUGGCGGCAUGCCUUACACAUGCAAGUCGAACGGCAGCACGGGAGCAAUCCUGGUGGCGAGUGGCGAACGGGUGAGUAAUAUAUCGGAACGUGCCCAGUAGUGGGGGAUAGCCCGGCGAAAGCCGGAUUAAUACCGCAUACGACCUGUGGGUGAAAAGCGGGGGAUCGCAAGACCUCGCGCUAUUGGAGCGGCCGAUAUCAGAUUAGCUAGUUGGUGGGGUAAAGGCCUACCAAGGCGACGAUCUGUAGCUGGUCUGAGAGGACGACCAGCCACACUGGGACUGAGACACGGCCCAGACUCCUACGGGAGGCAGCAGUGGGGAAUUUUGGACAAUGGGCGCAAGCCUGAUCCAGCCAUGCCGCGUGUGGGAAGAAGG
rnacentral:rRNA from 1 species